CAGACCUUGCUCCUUCAGAUGACCACUUGUUCCGAUGGAUGGCACGCACAUUGUCUGAGCAGCAUUUCCAAAUAUGUGAAGAAGUGGAAAAGUGGGUCUCUGGUUUGCACAUUAACAGUUCUAUUGGGACAGUAUCCACAAAUUACCUGAAACAUGGGGAAAUGUGUAGCUAGCGGUGGACAUUACUUUGAAUAAAGCACUUGGAUGUUUCUCU